rnacentral:rRNA from 1 species
UACGGAGGAGGCAAGCGUUAUCCGGAAUUAUUGGGCGUAAAGCGUCCGUAGGUGGUUUAGUAAGUCUGCUGUUAAAGCGCGGGGCUUAACUCCGUAUCGGCAGUGGAAACUACUAGACUAGAGUGUGGUAGGGGUAGAGGGAAUUCCCAGUGUAGCGGUGAAAUGCGUAGGUAUUGGGAAGAACACCGGUGGCGAAGGCGCUCUACUGGGCCAUAACUGACACUGAUGGACGAAAGCUAGGGGAGCGAAAGGG